rnacentral:rRNA from 1 species
AGAGUUUGAUUCUGGCUCAGGAUGAACGCUAGCGACAGGCUUAACACAUGCAAGUCGAGGGGCAGCAUAAAAGUAGCAAUACUUGGUGGCGACCGGCGCACGGGUGAGUAACGCGUAUGCAACCUACCUAUCGAGAGGGGAAUAACCCGGCGAAAGUCGGACUAAUACCGCAUAAAACAGGGGCACCGCAUGGUGAUAUUUGUUAAAGAAAUUCGCUGAUAGAUGGGCAUGCGUUCCAUUAGGUAGUUGGUGAGGUAACGGCUCACCAAGCCGACGAUGGAUAGGGGAACUGAGAGGUUGGUCCCCCACACUGGUACUGAGACACGGACCAGACUCCUACGGGAGGCAGCAGUGAGGAAUAUUGGUCAAUGGGCGGGAGCCUGAACCAGCCAAGUCGCGUGAAGGAAGAAGGAUCUAUGGUUCGUAAACUUCUUUUGCAGGGGAAUAAAGUGCAGGACGUGUCCUGUUUUGUAUGUACCCUGAGAAUAAGGAUCGGCUAACUCCGUGCCAGCAGCCGC